GACGAACGCUGGCGGCGUGCUUAACACAUGCAAGUCGAACGAUGCAGACGAGAAACGCGAACCACGGUUCAAAUUCCACUUGGGAUCUGCGGCAGACGGGUGAGUAACGCGUGAGCAACCUACCUCAUACAAAGUAAUAUCCUCGGGAAACAGUGUUUUAUACCAUAUGUGACAUUCAUAUGGCAUCUUAAGAUUGUUAAAGCUAUGGCGGUAAGGGAUGGGCUCGCGUUCCAUUAGCUAGUUGGUGAGGUAACAGCCUACCAAGGCGACGAUGGCUAACUGGCCUGAGAGGGUGAACAGUCACAUUGGGACUGAGACACGGUCCAGACUCCUACGGGAGGCAGCAGUGGGGAAUAUUGGACAAUGGAGGAAAGUCUGAUCCAGCGACGCCGCGUGAGCGAUGAAGGCAUUCGUGUCGUAAAGCUCUGUUCUAUGGGAAGAUAAUGACAGUACCGUAGGAAAAAGCCCCGGCUAACUCCGUG
rnacentral:rRNA from 1 species